UACAGAGGGGGCAAGCGUUGUUCGGAAUUACUGGGCGUAAAGGGCCAGUAGGCGGCCAACUAAGUCCGACGUGAAAUCCCAAGGCUUAACCUUGGAACUGCGUCGGAUACUGGAUGGCUUGAAUUCGGGAGAGGGAUGCAGAAUUCCAGGUGUAGCGGUGAAAUGCGUAGAUAUCUGGAGGAAUACCGGUGGCGAAGGCGGCAUCCUGGACCGACAUUGACGCUGAUGCGCGAAAGCCAGGGGAGCAAACGGG
rnacentral:rRNA from 1 species